ensembl:lncRNA
AUGAUUUUCCUCCUGCAGCAUUUCUUCCUGCUGGUCAUAGACUUACUGCUUGCCAUGACCCUUUCCUGCCUCUUUUAUGCCUUCGCGUGCAUUUCCAUUGUGUUCCUGACCUGCUGCAUUAUCAUCUUUUCCUUCAUCACCAUGGAGAGGAAUGCUGAUAUGAAAGGGAGAGCAAUCGUAAUUCUUGUGUCCAACAGUUCCAUUGGGAGGACGUUUGCAAGGAACCUGAAUAAAGCAGGUUUUGGGGUGUCUGCUGCACAAUGGCCUGCUCAAGAGAAGAGGACAGUGACAGAAGAAUGCUCGUCAAACAAGGAGGUAGCCCAGCUCCACCUGACUGAAGAUGAGUAUCAGAAGACAGUGAAAACCUUCAUAGAAAACCACUUAUCCCUGAAAGGCCCUGCAGAGGAAGGACAUUUUGGAAGUCAGAGCCCGCACCAUGAAGCCUCCCGUACUGCAGACACCCUAGGGUAGGGAACCCUAGCCAACACCUGCUGCUGGCUGCAGCUAUUCAGGACAGAGUUCUCUCCCAUUGCUCUUCUCCUCAGAAGCGCCCAGAAGACCAGCAGUGCCUGUGCAACUCUGCAUGGCCCAGGAUACACCCCCCAAUUCACUGCCUGCCCACAGGCUCCAGAAAUGGGUCCCUGCACACCAGCAGUGGGUUUCAAACUGAGUGCUCAGCUCCUGCAUGAACACUUAGGCUCACUUACCCUGGGAAAAUUAGUCUGGUGAAACCUUCCUGUGUGGACAAGGCCUAGAAGCUCCCCAGGCUGAGUACCAGCAUAAUCCUGCUCUGGAAAUGAACAACAGAGGCUUUCUUAACCAGUAAUGAUCUGUGGGAGCUGGUGAUUUCUGUGGGCCUGUGCUGUUCUAAUUAAAUGAGACUCUGGCACAGUGAUACCUGUCUUUUUUUGCUCUUGGUCAUCAAAUUUUUUAGUUUGGUCCCCAUGCUAGUUAAAGGCUUUUGCAGGUGUCAUGUUUUUUUGACAGAGUGAUCUGUUGAAGGAUCUGUGAGGUUUUACAUUUAGGAUCUCCUGCAUAAUAUUCACAUCACAGAUGUGGAUGUUGAAAUGUAUUUCCCAAGUGCUGACCCAAUUGCAUGGCAGAUCAAAGCAGUAUGUUGGGAGGGGAAAAAAAAGAAAAAUAAAAGAAAAAUUAAAAAAGAAAGAAAACCUCACUGUUUUCUUAGAUUUCUUUGUUAACAGUUUUGAGUGAGUGCUGGUAUCCAUUCUGCAAAAUUUACUGUAAGGUGAAACAUGAACACUCACCACCAACUGACUGAUAAAUGAAAGAAUUUAAAGCAAACCAAAAGCCUGCAUUGGUGGGUCCCCACAUGCAGUUUGGUCAGCAGGAUCCAGACAAGGGCAGGAGAGAGUUUGUGCCGUAGGGCAGAACCAUUACACAACCUUCUCCAUUUAAAAACUUCUCUUACGCACUUUGUGUAUGCAAUUUUUAGUUUCUAAAAAAAGAAACCUCUGCUAGUUUUUAUGGGGUUUGUUGUUUUUUGUUUUUUUUUUUAAUUACUUGUCCCCAUAGGACAUUUUUACCAUUAUAUCUUGCUAUUGUAAAUAAAAAGAUACUUGUUCUAAAUAAUCAAAUCUUUUGAAAUUCAUCCUAAAUGCCUUUUGAAGUAACACAGUGAAGACAGAACCCCCCAGUCAUAGUUCCUUCUAGAAUUAAAAUACUUAAGACAGCUAAAAUAAUCUGGUUUUCAUUCUAGUACAGGCCCAGCAACCCAAAUUUCCAGGAAGGUUAACACCUUUAUUUUGCAGUGAAUGUACAAAUUAAUAAGGUGCUAUCAGGCCUAAGGAGAAUGUAACAAAGAUACAGAGAAAUGCAAGUCAGCCCCAUUCCAAAUUCUUCCUUUGCUGUGUGAUAGCUUAACUUGGUUCAUAAAAAGCCUUUGGUGCCUUUAGAUCAGAUAUUUAAACUUCCUCUGUGACCAAGAGGUCAAAGAGACAGAGGGAAAAAGAUGAGAAAAGGAGUUUUAUUGCUCACCUCCAGUAGCUGAGCUUGUACUACGAGAUAUUGCAAGAGCUCUUGGCAUUGUGUCCGAGUCCUCUGUGAUCCAGCUGCUUGACAAACUGCUGUGCUGUGCUGCUCUUUGGGCAGGAAAUGCUGGCAAUUGCUUCACGAUUUUCAGGAUUGACUGCAGGGAGGGUGGGGUAGGGCAAGCAGGAAAAAAUGUAGAGAUGGGCAAGACCCAACAGACAGCCACCUGACCUGACUCAAAAAGAGUUCCGACAACCAGCUGCUCAUCUGGUUAACUGCUGGAGCCUCUGCUCUCACAGUACCUCGGGGUUCACCUGAUCACACACACAACAGUCACAGGGCUAAGCAAAACCGGCACUGACUGUGCCAGAGGAUCCCAAAGUGGUUUGAGUUGGGAGGGUCCAACCCCAAUGCCAUGGGCAGGGACGCCUUCCAUUAGACCUGGUUGCUCAAAUCCCCAUCCAGCCUGGCCCUGAACACUUCCAGGGAUGAGGCAUCUUCUGUAAUUCCUCAGGUUCCCACAGGAGAGAUAUGAACAAUGCCUCACACAGCACAGUGUCCCUUUCUUCGUUCAGAUCUCUGCUAUUCUGAAGUUGUUUGCAAGAGUCCUGUUGGUUUUCAUUGGGUCAGGAUUUCAUUUCUUGUACCUGAAUCUCAGAUAAGACAUGACAACUGCUGGAUUCUUUGGUACUUACCACCUUCUCUCUGUCCCUAUCUUUCAAAUAGGAAGGACAAGAACUUUUACACAAGCAGAGAACAUUAUUAAUUUGCACCAGUUAUUUAAUUCCUAAAUAAUGUUAGGACCCAUGUCUGAAAGACUCUCUCACCACCACACUUCACCAUGGUGUUUCAGACCAGUUGGAAGUGCACGUUUCCAAGCAUUGCUCUGCAGGCUCCAAAGGACCUGGAGAGAGCUCCCUAUGCAGACAGCUAGGCCAGUGGGAGAUACUGGACUGUCAUCCUUGGCCAUCUGUCCUCAUCUCUAUGUUGCUGUUGGCAAAGUAGCUCUCAUGACCUCUCCCUAAGUUAGGGCAGGCAAGAUCACCUUAUCAUUUGAUCAAUUUAAACAGGUGUGUUAAAUAAUGUUAAUCCAGCUGAUUACUUUCUUGUGUGCACCAUGGGACACUCCUGCAAUCUCUGUGAGCAGAGCUGUGAGGGCAGUCACACCAGCCUGGGCAGGUACAGCUAAUCCUAGGCAAAGAAAGGUGUCCACUGCUGCUGUGGCUUGCUCGAGGCUGUGUACUGAGAUGCUGCCAGAGCUGUACAGAGCACUGAGGUAUUGAGGCUUCCAGCAGCCCCGUGGCUCCUUGGACAGUCUCCACCUCUUCCAAAGGUCAGGCUGCUUUUGCAGCUCUGCUGUGCAGCAGGUAGCAGUGGUAGAUGCUCUCCUGUUACUUCCCCUUGCCUUGUACCUCUCCUUCAGCAUCCCCAGACUUCAGUUUGCCAUGCAGUUUAGUCCAGGAAGGCACUCUUGGGACAGAGAUCCAGAAAGAAAGACCCUACAGUGAGCCUGAGCAGGAGACAGAGACAUUGGAACUGCUGCCUUGUGUGGUGGACACACCGUAGAAACUCUUUUGCUUCCUUAGGAUGCCAGUGUGGUUGACCAGGUUAUUUUAUUAGAAGGCAAUCCUUACUCACUCUCCAUGCUAUGCUUACCUUAGGAUAAAGGCAAGGCCAUACAGCCAUUCCUACACUCAGAGCAGAGGGGAAGCUCAGCUUUCUUUUGGAACAGUAUAGCUUAGUGCGUGGCACGAGCAGCCGUUCCCACCAGCUGCAGAGAUGGAGUGAACAGAUGCAAUAAUAAUUGACUGCAAUGAACUACAAGGGAGUAAGGAUGAGUAAAGCAAACAAAAUCACACACUCAUGCAAUUUUAAAGAGUACUGCAUUAUUUAACUUCACUCAGCUACAACUACUGCAGGCCACCUUGGAUAAAUCAGCCCAUUUUCCAAGCUGUAAAUGACCGUGCUUG